UACGGAGGAUCCAAGCGUUAUCCGGAUUUAUUGGGUUUAAAGGGUGCGUAGGCGGAACGAUAAGUCAGUGGUGAAAGCCUGCAGCUUAACUGCAGAACUGCCAUUGAUACUGUCGAUCUUGAGUACAUUUGAUGUGGGCGGAAUGUGUCAUGUAGCGGUGAAAUGCUUAGAUAUGACACAGAACACCGAUUGCGAAGGCAGCUCACAAAACUGUAACUGACGCUGAGGCACGAAAGCGUGGGUAUCAAACAGG
rnacentral:rRNA from 1 species